GGAACUUAGCUCCUUUGAGUUUCCUCUUCUCCAUCAGCAUGGCCAGGGUUAUUUAUGAACAGCUCCAGAUAUUCUAACACACUUGUUGAUGCUCUUAAGGGGAUCCUGUCCAGCUGUCCCUGCCAAAGACACUCCCAUUAUCACCAGGACCUGGGCUCCACAUGUUCCUGCUUGAGGCUUGGGUUCUCGUAUUCUUUCAUCUUCAAGAUUUGCAAACAGGAGCACAUUAAUCUUCACAACAUCCGUGUGAGCUGAGCAGCUGGUACAUCUUAUGAUCCUCUGUAUUAAUGAUGGAAAGAUGAUAAUGAUGGUGAUAAAAAUUAAGACACAUCAAACAGCGUCAGCACUAUCACAUCAAAACACCCAUGGAUUUCUCAGUGUGGAGAAGAGGUGACAUUAACCUUAGGAGGGGGAAAACUGCUGGAAGAGGGGAAGGGCUCAAGCAGGCCCUUGGCAGAGGAGGGACCUUCCAGGUAAAUCAGAUGGCCACUGCCUUGUACCCGCAUUGGAGAACGAAGGACCCCAGGGGAAACUCUUCCUGCCUUUGGGUCUCAAACGCCCAUGUAGUCCCCCCUCCCCCACAAGACCGCGAACACAAAUAAAAUCAGCUUUGAUUGUGGUGAUUCAAUUUGCUCUGGAAGAGAAGAGGACUCGGCGAAGGGGCCUAAGUGCACGUUCUUAGACUGACAGGGAGCGUUUCUCGGAGAUUUCUCCCGUUUCAACAAGUCAUUUGCCUAGUGGAAGGGGGAGGAA
rnacentral:lncRNA from 1 species